UACGUAGGGGGCAAGCGUUGUCCGGAUUUAUUGGGCGUAAAGAGCUCGUAGGUGGUUCGGUAAGUCGGAUGUGAAAUCUCCAGGCUCAACCUGGAGGGGUCAUUCGAUACUGCCGUGACUAGAGGUCGGUAGGGGAGUGUGGAAUUCCUGGUGGAGCGGUGAAAUGCGUAGAUAUCGGGAGGAACACCUGUGGCGAAAGCGGCUCACUGGACCACAACUGACGCUGAGGCGCGAAAGCUAGGGGAGCAAACAGG
rnacentral:rRNA from 1 species